UUUUGUUUUAUAUUCAUUUCUUUAGCUUCUUCUUCUCACUCCCGAUUCCUCUCAGCCGUCGUAUCGCCGCCGUCUCGUAACCGUCUGUCAUAGUGUAUUGAAGUGAGGAAAAAAUGGGGGACAAGAGGAAGAAGACGUUCAUGUUCAUCCGUCUGGUCUCAGCUGCUGGAACUGGGUUCUUCUAUGUGAAGAGGAAGAGUAGCAAGGGUCUUCUUGAGAAGCUUGAGUUCCGCAAGUACGAUCCUCGUGUCAACCGCCAUGUCCUCUUCACUGAGCAGAAGAUGAAGUGACUCUUAACUCGCUUCUUUUUUUUCUUUCUUUUGUGUGUGUGUUUCAUUGCUUUCCAAGAGCCCCAUAACAAAUCUCUGCAAUUAGUAUUACUAUUCAGUCAAAGAAGUUCUCAAUGGGGUUUAGACUUUUUGUUAAGUUUCAGUGUGAGGCUUGCAUCAAGAAAGUGGGUCUCUUUAAUGGUCUAAGUUUACAUUGAAA